AUUACAACCGUCAAGACACUCGGG
rnacentral:siRNA from 1 species